ACGAACGCUGAUGGCGUGCCUCAUACAUGCAAGUCGAGCGGAUCCGCAAGGGUCAGCGGCGCACGGGUGAGUAACGCGUAAACAAUCUGCCUGAAGAUGGGGGAUAACUAUCCCAACGGAUAGCUAGUACCGCAUAGGAAUGGGGGGAGGCAUCUCCUUCUAUUGAAAGAUUUAUCGUCUUCAGAUGAGUUUGCGUCCCAUUAGCUAGUUGGCGGGGGUAACGGCCCACCAAGGCGACGAUGGGUAGCCGGCCUGAGAGGGUGUACGGCCACAUUGGGACUGAGAUACGGCCCAGACUCCUACGGGAGGCAGCAGUAGGGAAUUUUGCGCAAUGGGGGCAACCCUGACGCAGCAACGCCAUGUGAGGGAUGAAGCAUUUCGGUGCGUAAACCUCUGUCAGCAGGGAAUAAAGGGGAGGAUUUUCCUCCCGGUGCAUGUACCUGCAAAGGAAGCCCCGGCUAACUUCGUGCCAGCAGCCGCGGUAAUACGAGGGGGGCAAGUGUUGUUCGGAAUCACUGGGCGUAAGGGAGCGUAGGCGGGAACGUAAGUGAGAGGUUUAAAGCGGUGGCCCAACCCCCGUGUGGCCUUUCAAACUGCGUUUCUUGAAUCGGGGAGAGGUCGAUGGAAUUGGAGGUGUAGCGGUAGAAUGCGUAGAUAUCUCCAAGAACACCAGUUGCGAAGGCGGUCGACUGGCCCACGAUUGACGCUGAGGCUCGAAAGCAUGGGGAGCAAACAGGAUUAGAUACCCUGGUAGUCCAUGCCGUAAACGAUGAACACUAGGUUUGGGACUCGUCAACGGUUCCGAGCCGCAGCUAACGCGUUAAGUGUUCCGCCUGGGGAGUACGCUCGCAAGAGUGGAACUCAAAGGAAUUGACGGGGGCCCGCACAAGCGGUGGAGCAUGUGGUUUGAUUCGACGCAACGCGGAGAACCUUACCAAGGCUUGACAUGGGAAAGACCGUCCGAGAGAUCGGGCUUUGUCCGCAAGGACACUUUCCACACAGGUGCUGCAUGGCUGUCGUCAGCUCGUGUCGUGAGAUGUUGGGUUAAGUCCCGCAACGAGCGCAACCCUUGCUUCUAGUUGCCAGCAUUCAGUUGGGCACUCUAGAGAGACUGCCGCGAAUAACGCGGAGGAGGGUGGGGACGACGUCAAGUCAUCAUGGCCCUUACGUCUUGGGCUACACACGUGCUACAAUGGGCGUUACAAAGGGUUGCAAGAGCGCGAGCUGGAGCCAAUCCCCAAAAGCGCCCUCAGUUCAGAUUGCAGUCUGCAACCCGACUGCAUGAAGUUGGAAUCGCUAGUAAUCGCGGAUCAGCACGCCGCGGUGAAUACGUUCCCGGGCCUUGUACACACCGCCCGUCAAGCCACGAAAGGAGAGAGCGCUCUAAGCCGCGAUGGCAACCCGCAAGGGACCUAGCGUCUAAAGCGAGAUUUCUAAUUGGGGCU
rnacentral:rRNA from 1 species